UGGUGAAAAACCUGCCAAACUCUGUGUUA
rnacentral:piRNA from 1 species